CAAGUCGAGCGGAUGAAGAGAGCUUGCUCUCUGAUUCAGCGGCGGACGGGUGAGUAAUGCCUAGGAAUCUGCCUGAUAGUGGGGGACAACGUUUCGAAAGGAACGCUAAUACCGCAUACGUCCUACGGGAGAAAGCAGGGGACCUUCGGGCCUUGCGCUAUCAGAUGAGCCUAGGUCGGAUUAGCUAGUUGGUGAGGUAAUGGCUCACCAAGGCGACGAUCCGUAACUGGUCUGAGAGGAUGAUCAGUCACACUGGAACUGAGACACGGUCCAGACUCCUACGGGAGGCAGCAGUGGGGAAUAUUGGACAAUGGGCGAAAGCCUGAUCCAGCCAUGCCGCGUGUGUGAAGAAGGUCUUCGGAUUGUAAAGCACUUUAAGUUGGGAGGAAGGGCAUUAACCUAAUACGUUAGUGUUUUGACGUUACCGACAGAAUAAGCACCGGCUAACUUCGUGCCAGCAGCCGCGGUAAUACGAAGGGUGCAAGCGUUAAUCGGAAUUACUGGGCGUAAAGCGCGCGUAGGUGGUUUGUUAAGUUGAAUGUGAAAGCCCCGGGCUCAACCUGGGAACUGCAUCCAAAACUGGCAAGCUAGAGUAUGGCAGAGGGUGGUGGAAUUUCCUGUGUAGCGGUGAAAUGCGUAGAUAUAGGAAGGAACACCAGUGGCGAAGGCGACCACCUGGGCUAAUACUGACACUGAGGUGCGAAAGCGUGGGGAGCAAACAGGAUUAGAUACCCUGGUAGUCCACGCCGUAAACGAUGUCGACUAGCCGUUGGGAUCCUUGAGAUCUUAGUGGCGCAGCUAACGCAUUAAGUCGACCGCCUGGGGAGUACGGCCGCAAGGUUAAAACUCAAAUGAAUUGACGGGGGCCCGCACAAGCGGUG
rnacentral:rRNA from 2 species